UACACGAAAGACGUUUAUGGAGAGAUCAAGGAUUGAUUACUUGAGAAAAGCCAAUUAUGAGAGCCGCAACUCGCAAAAUCAAAAUUUAUAAACUUUUCAGGGAACUGGAUUUUCCCCAAAAGCCAACCGAAAAAAUAUACGCAGAACAAAAUAAGAAAAACGUUCUUGAAAACAAAAGACUUAAUUCUGAAUUUUCGUAAGAGCGUUUCAGAGACCAAACGCUACAUGAUGUCCGUCUGGAAGCGAGAUUUUAAGGGAAUCAAAUGAGCAGAGUUAGAAAAAUCUAAACAAAUCCGCUAGAUUUGCAAAUAAAUCAUAUGUGAGUUGCAGCUUGAUUAGCAAAGAAGCAAAAAUAAAGCCUAAGGUUUCUAAUUGCAAAGAAUUUCAAUAGCUAAGUUUAUGUCUUCAUUAUUCUCUAUCCCGGCCUUAACUAUAUACUCCUCCAAGGUAAGCCGUGUUGCAAUUUUCCCGUAUAUACACAUCUUCCUUCUUUCCACAUUUCCUCUGAUCUUUCCUUUUUGGUACAGAUUCAAGUUUAUUCCUUUCAAAAAUCUUCCACUAUCCUGUUUUCUUCCUUAUUCUUCUCCAAGUAAAUUAAACUGCCAUUGAGAUCGGGCUACUUUACGUGUUAAGGUGAAAAUGGGCUGUUUCGUUUUUAGACCGUUAUGGACCGUUUUACGAAUUAUGCAUUUUUUACAAAUUUUCUUGGAAAAUUUGUUGAUUUGCUCGAAUUGUGUUUUUUGUGUCGUUAUGUUACAAAAUGAUAAAAAUCAUUUCAAUUUAUCAAAAACAUAUUUGGUGUUUGACUUAACCGUUAACGUCUCUACAUCUGGCUAGAUUUUAGGGAAAAUCGAGAAUUUCUUGUUUUCUCCGUAAAAUCUUAAUAGAAACUAUGAUUGUGAAAAAAUGAAGAACAUUUCAGACGAGAUUAAAGCAAGGACAUGAUGAACCGAGGAGUUGGCAAUGAUGAGGUGUAAUGGGUGAUGCUAAAGAGUGAGGGAAGGUCAUGGGCGAUGUUGAGAAGCUUGGGAGAGUAAUGGGUGAUGCUCGAAAGAGAGAGAGGGUCUUGUGGGCGAUGCUAAGCAGUGAGAGGGAGUCAAGGAUGAUGCUGAGAAUCUUGUGAGAGUAAUGGGAGAUGCUGGGGAGAGAGAGAAGGUCUUGUGGGCGAUUCUGGGAGGAGAGAAAGUCUUGGGGCGAUGCUGAGAGAGAGGAGUGUCUUGGGCGAUGCUGACUAGGAGAGAUAGUUCCCUUAUGUACAAUGUUGAGGAGAAAGGGAGGAGAGAGAGAGGGUGAUGCUUCUCUCUCAUGGCUCUGUCUCGUGUAUGCAGUUCUGCGUUGAUAGUUUUGUAUCUUCUCACUUGUUUUUAUGAAAAGUUUUUGAGAGUUUUACGGAAGUUUUUCUGUAAGAACUGUUGAAUGUAAUCAUAUACAAUACUAAAAGGAAAAUAUAAGAACUGUAAGAACUGUUGAGAGUUAGUUUUAUGGAAGAUUUUUUCGUAAACUAUUCAGUUUUAUUUUUACAUAUUUUUUUGGUAAAAACUUUCCAAAGUUAGUUUUAGGAAAGAUUGUCUCGUAAAAUUGUUUUCUUUCGUUUUCGAGAAGUUUUUCCUUAAAAACUUUCUGGAAUCAGUUUCAUGGAAAAUUGUUUUGUAAAACUUUUUGUUUCCCUAAAACCUUCCUAAAGAACGUUUUUCCAGAUAAUUCUUGUUUGGACAUACAUCUUUCUAUUUCCUUUCCAUGAAGAAAUAUAUGAUGUUCUUAUGUAUUUUUGUUCAAGUUGGCACGGCAUAUGCAGAAUCAUUCUCUUGACAUUUCCGGCUCGUUCUUUUUAAUGAUACGAUUCUUGGGUGAUUUACCAUUGAUAUCGCUAGGACAAAUUUUGAACCCAAGCACCCUAGCUUGGUAGAAUUGCAUGUAGUUCUGACGAGAUAAAAAUAACUGUUUAAGUGGAAUCAAGGGUUAAGCGUCUCCCUUCCAACCCUAAGAAUUUUUGAAAGCCGAAAAGAGGGUUGAAUGGACAUACUUUUCACAUUAUUAUAAGAAGUGGGUGUUUUCUUCAUUCUCACUUGCGUUGCUCAUCUCUUAGGAAUUUUCUUAAAGGAGAAUCUUUUUUUUCUCUCUCUCUGCUUCAAAAGACUUGUUGGGACUGCGUCAAGCAAUAUGGAUGCUCCCCCUUCUCUACGAGCACCAAGGUGAGUUUCUUAGUUCUGAGGGGUAUGACUAGGACUUCCGAGAACAGGUUGUUGGCACUCAGAAAUACUUUAUGUGUUCCGUAUCGUUCAGGGUUCUGGGAUCAAUUAUCGUGCCGAUAACCCUCCUCCUGCAUACUUCACCUUUUAUUGGCUUACCUCUCUUCUAGUUUCGUGUGGUUCCAGAUCCCGUCGUUAAUCCUCAUCUCCCUCCAUGAACAAGGAUUGGCGUACGGCCAAUUAACGUCGAGCUGGACGUGUAUCAUUUAAAGAAUCUCUUGAAGAGGUCAAAUUCUCUGAUUUGUUAUGUCAAUCCGAGACCGCUUAUGGGCAGGGCGAAUGGCGGAUCAUGGUCUCGUUACUUCUUUUAUGUUCUUGAAGAUAACACAUCUUGUGAAGAAGGCAAUCUCCCAUUUCUCAGGGCAACUUGGGGAAGGCUUGUUAGAGAUCUGAUUCCUCGCUUUGCUUCUGAUCUGUCAUAGUUCUGCAAGAUACUCUUUGACACAGGAAUGUGGACUGGGCUCUCGGAAGAGAGGGUUGAAGAAGCCAUAGCUCUUCGUGCUCCUUAGAGUCGUAGUGCGAAGCCGCUGAUGCCUAAGUAUACGAUCGAGGGUCCUGCUAUGAUUUUUGGGUCCUUUGGCCAUAACCUAGGAUUAUGAUAUUUUCUGAUGGUUGGGAUGUAUCCCGUUUUAUAUUUUAUGUUUGCUUCAGUGGCUUUCUCAUGCUGUGUAUAACAACUUCCCGUAGGGCUUUUGUAUAAUAUCUUUGUGUUGUUACAUUA